GAUGUACUCCCUCCGUUCCUAAAUACUUGUCUUUCUAGGCAUUUCAACAAGUGACUACAUACGGAGGAAAAUGAGUGAAUCUACACUCUAAAAUAUGUCUACAUACAUCCGUAUGUAGUAGUCAUUUGAAAUGUCUAGAAAGACAAGUAUUUAGGAACGGAGGGAGUACUAC
rnacentral:pre_miRNA from 1 species